rnacentral:rRNA from 1 species
GACGAACGCUGGCGGCGUGCUUAACACAUGCAAGUCGAGCGGUAAGGCUCCUUCGGGAGUACACGAGCGGCGAACGGGUGAGUAACACGUGAGCAAUCUGCCCUUCACUUUGGGAUAAGCACCGGAAACGGUGUCUAAUACCGAAUACGACCACUUCCGGCAUCGGAUGGUGGUGGAAAGUUCCGGCGGUGAAGGAUGAGCUCGCGGCCUAUCAGCUUGUUGGUGGGGUAACGGCCCACCAAGGCUUCGACGGGUAGCCGGCCUGAGAGGGUGACCGGCCACACUGGGACUGAGACACGGCCCAGACUCCUACGGGAGGCAGCAGUGGGGAAUAUUGGACAAUGGGCGAAAGCCUGAUCCAGCAACGCCGCGUGAGGGAUGACGGCCUC